rnacentral:rRNA from 1 species
CAAGUCGAGCGGGUGUAGCAAUACACCAGCGGCAGACGGGAGAGUAACACGUGGGAACGUGCCCUUCAGUUCGGAACAACCCAGGGAAACUUGGGCUAAUACCGGAUACGUCCGUAAGGAGAAAGAUUUAUCGCUGAAGGAUCGGCCCGCGUCUGAUUAGCUUGUUGGUGAGGUAAUGGCUCACCAAGGCGACGAUCAGUAGCUGGUCUGAGAGGAUGAUCAGCCUCACUGGGACUGAGACACGGCCCAGACUCCUACGGGAGGCAGCAGUAGGGAAUAUUGGACAAUGGGCGCAAGCCUGAUCCAGCCAUGCCGCGUGGGUGAUGAAGGCCCUAGGGUUGUAAAGCCCUUUCGGCGGGGAAGAUAAUGACGGUACCCGCAGAAGAAGCCCCGGCUAACUUCGUGCCAGCAGCCGCGGUAAUACGAAGGGGGCUAGCGUUGCUCGGAAUCACUGGGCGUAAAGCGCACGUAGGCGGCUUUUUAAGUCAGGGGUGAAAUCCUGGAGCUCAACUCCAGAACUGCCUUUGAUACUGAGAAGCUUGAGUCCGGGAGAGGUGAGUGGAACUGCGAGUGUAGAGGUGAAAUUCGUAGAUAUUCGCAAGAACACCAGUGGCGAAGGCGGCUCACUGG